rnacentral:rRNA from 1 species
AUGCCACUUUGCAAGUCGACCCUCAACUUGCAACUGGGUCUUCUAUUCUUGAUGCCACUUGGAAGUGGACGCUCGACUUUGCGAUCCAAUUACUUGUUUCAUGCCACUUGCAAGCCGAGCCUCGACUUGCAACUAGGUCUUCUGUUUUCAUACCACUUGCAAGUGGACCCUCUACUUGCUACUGUGUCUUUUUGUUUAAUGCCACUUGCAAGUGGAUCCUCGACUUGCAACCGCGUCUUCUAUUUUUUUGAUGCCACUCUCAAGUGGACCCUCGACUUGCAACCGGGUUCCUUUGUUUUUCAUGCCACUUGCAAGUGGAUCCUUGACUUGCAACUACUUCUUCUAAUUUUUUUAUGCCACUGGCAAGUGGNNNNNNNNNNUGGCAAGUGGACCCUCGACUUGCAACCGGUUCCUUUGUUUUUCAUGCCACUUGCAAGUGGAUCAUCGACUUGCAACCAGGUCUUCUUUUUUUGA